CUUUUUAAAGUCUUACGUUAUUGCAGAUGGAAGAUGUAAUACAUUGUCCAUUGCAGCCAGUUUCUACUUACUUCACUCGGCUCUGGGUGAGGCCCUGGCACACCUCUUGUGUAGCUCUUUCUCCAUAACUAUUGCAUACAGCGUAGAGCACUUCAGAUCCAGAUGCUAGGUCCCUGCAUGGAACCUGUUCUCCUUUCCCAGAGUGGGAAUAGGAUCCAUGUUUCUCUUGCUAGGGUUAGGUUUGUUAUUCUUUUCCUUUGAAUACAAGUAACAGGAAAAAAAUGUCUAAACAUUAAGACACAAAAAUUGUUGACAUCAAAUACUUUCAUUCUUUCAGGACCAUGAAAGCAAAAGGUAAGAUAAGGCACUGAAUUUAUAUUUGGAAGGCAUUUUCUGAAAGGCUAUGGGACAGAAGCCUUUGCAUUUCACUUGGAAGGGAAAAUAAAUAAUAUUGUUCGAAUGUUGUAAGUUGUACCCACCGGGUACAUUUCCUGCCAGCAUGGGUGAAGUUUUCCAUUGUGUAAACUCCUUGAAGUUGCAAAUGCUUCAUUUGAGUGCAUGUGAUAUUUGGCAAGGUUCGAUUGUGGCAGUAACAAGAGCAAUCCUGAAAACUGUGUGCAAGUCCAGCUACAGACAUUAAGCUUGUUAGCAAACAGUUAUUCCUGACUGAUGUCAGAAUGAAACAGCAGAGGAGCAACUCUCCUCACAGACUUUUGAAAGUCAGACUCCUGGCCUCCAGCCACAGAGCUGUUCCAGAGCCUUCCUGCUCCAGUGAUCAGUCCCCCAGUUCUCAGCGUAGGCAUGGACACAGCCAGUUCGUGCCUAUCGAUACUUUGCGUGCCCUGACCUGCGCCUCAGUAAAUGGUUAAUGUGCCAAUCCAAGGUGAUAUCUCUCAGAUAUACAAACAUAGGUAAGAAUUUCACUAGAGGAGAGUAGGAAGGGUGCCUGUUUGCUGGUGUGAAUUGACUGUACGUUUUGUAUCAGGAGAUUUCCAAACUGCUGUUCUGACAGGUUGUGAGGUCUAGGUGGGGAAACGCUAAGCUGGGUGGGUUCGGAUCUGCUAAUGUACACAGCAGUAGCAUCUCCUUUUUCUGUACUACAGCCAUUAGUGUCAGGGUCUGAAUUUUAAAACAAUUCAGAAGUCUUCUAGUAUGACUAAUUUCCCAUUUUCCUCACUGGCAGCUGGCCUUGUUUGGCAGAAAAUACAUCUUCGAGGACGUUGUAAGCCAGACUCAACAGGAAACAAGUCUAGCAUAGCAACAGUUCCAGGCAGAAGGGAUGUCCAGGAAACAAAGUCUUCACCUUUAUUUGAGCUUUACAGAUCCAGGCAGCUGCACCAGACCAGAUCUAGACUUGUUGAAGUCAAUGGAAAAAUCAUUCUUCAAGUUCAACAGAGUCAAAUGCUUCGCCUAAUGGAUCAAAAUGUUAAGUGGCUGGAAUUUUCCCUUGAAUCUCAAGACAUUGGUGAGAAUCCAGGAAGCUGCUGGGAGGACAACAACCUGCUCCCAUUAAUGCCGCGUUGAUAAUUGAGGCAAGACAGGCUACACAGGCUACAUUGCUCAAUGCAUCCUUUCAUGUGCGCUGUUUUUUCUAAGCAUUUGCUGCUGAGGAAUGGGUUUCUGUGGUUAAGAAAGUUUUGAAAACAAUAAAGCAAUGAAAGCCUUCAA